GAGAAUUGGUUCACCAACACCCUGAUGUGAAAAGUGACAAACCCUAACCUGGCACAUCAACGAAAUUCAAAAUUAGGUUAUGGUUGUCAAGACUAUCAAAGCAAACAAAGCUCUUACAGUUGGUGACAAAGGAAAUUUGUGAGAUGUUGUUUGUGUCAUGAAGGAAGGAGGAACACCAACAUAAAAUUUCAAUACCUACUGAUGUGUGUUUGGGCUUUACCGGGUCAAGCUAAUGACGUUAACAAAGCGCUUGCUGGGAGGCAACCCAGUUUCUGAAUUUUUUUAUCUUCAAUUUCGUUUUGAUUUUAUUUUAUUUUAUUUUAUUUUUAUUUCAUUUUAUUUGAUUUUUUUUAUUUCAUUUUAUUUGAUUUGGUUUUAUUUUAUUUUAUUUUAUUUUAUUUAUCUUUUUUGGGUUAUGCGUUGCUUCUGAUGGCAAUGAUGAUAACAUCUCCUGAUGGAUGCUUCUACAACAUCUAUUGAUGGAUGUUAGGUGAUAUGGCAUUUACUGAUGGAUGCCAAUGAAGAUUAGAAAGAUUAGCAUUUACUGAUGAAUGCUACCGAGAUAGCACCUACUGGGGGAUGUUAGAAGAUAUAGGUAUCCACUGAAGGAUAUCCGGAAGGUACACCUACUGAUGGGUGGUGGAAGGUAGUGCACUUACUAACAAGUGCCAACCAGGUUUGGGUCAGGCUCGUAACGUUAAACAAGCGCUACUAGGAGGCAACCUAGAUUUCUUCUUACACUUUUUGCAUUUUAAAUUCGUAGAAUAGGUUGAAUUUUAAUUUUGGUGUGUAUUCUUGGCUUUAUUACUUGCUCUGAAAAUGUUUGACUAACUAAUUUGCAUGAUGGAUCUAUUUGAUGUGGAAGAGAAGUGAGUUAUAAUGCAUGUUGAUAUUUUUUGAAAUAGAUGUGUAAUGAAUCUAUGAUUGUGGUCAUGAUGCUAGGCAGGAUGUACGAAUGAAUUUUGUGUGAGAAAGCAUGUGUGUGAGAUUUUGAGCUUCAGAGUUUUUAUUGUUGUAUGCAUUGUUCACAGGAAAACAUUGAUGAUAUUGCCUUAAUCUUGAUAAUCGAUUGAAUUGCAUGUGAAUGUCAUAUGAUCAAGGCCAUUUUUUUUGAAAACCCUUCUCUAGCCAACUUUUCA
rnacentral:lncRNA from 1 species